ACUAACGCUGGCGGCGUGCCUAACACAUGCAAGUCGAACGGACUGUAGCAAUACAGUUAGUGGCAGACGGGUGAGUAACGCGUAGAUAACGUGCCCCUCCGCUGGGGAUAGCCACUGGAAACGGGUGGGUAAAACCGAAAUACUCUUGCCUGGGGACGAUCCCUGGGGAAGGGAAAUCUUUCGAGAGCGGAGGGAGCGGUUUGCGUCCUAUUAGCUAGUUGGUAGGGUAAAAGACCUACCAAGGCGACGAUGGGUAGCCGGUCUGAGAGGAUGAUCGGCCACACUGGCACUGAGAUACGGGCCAGACUCUUACGGGA
rnacentral:rRNA from 1 species